UUAAGCGACUAAGCGUACACGGUGGAUGCCCUGGCAGUCAGAGGCGAUGAAGGACGUGCUAAUCUGCGAUAAGCGUCGGUAAGGUGAUAUGAACCGUUAUAACCGGCGAUUUCCGAAUGGGGAAACCCAGUGUGUUUCGACACACUAUCAUUAACUGAAUCCAUAGGUUAAUGAGGCGAACCGGGGGAACUGAAACAUCUAAGUACCCCGAGGAAAAGAAAUCAACCGAGAUUCCCCCAGUAGCGGCGAGCGAACGGGGAGCAGCCCAGAGCCUGAAUCAGUAUGUGUGUUAGUGGAAGCGUCUGGAAAGGCGCGCGAUACAGGGUGACAGCCCCGUACACAAAAAUGCACAUAUUGUGAGCUCGAUGAGUAGGGCGGGACACGUGGUAUCCUGUCUGAAUAUGGGGGGACCAUCCUCCAAGGCUAAAUACUCCUGACUGACCGAUAGUGAACCAGUACCGUGAGGGAAAGGCGAAAAGAACCCCGGCGAGGGGAGUGAAAAAGAACCUGAAACCGUGUACGUACAAGCAGUGGGAGCACGCUUAGGCGUGUGACUGCGUACCUUUUGUAUAAUGGGUCAGCGACUUAUAUUCUGUAGCAAGGUUAACCGAAUAGGGGAGCCGAAGGGAAACCGAGUCUUAACUGGGCGUUAAGUUGCAGGGUAUAGACCCGAAACCCGGUGAUCUAGCCAUGGGCAGGUUGAAGGUUGGGUAACACUAACUGGAGGACCGAACCGACUAAUGUUGAAAAAUUAGCGGAUGACUUGUGGCUGGGGGUGAAAGGCCAAUCAAACCGGGAGAUAGCUGGUUCUCCCCGAAAGCUAUUUAGGUAGCGCCUCGUGAAUUCAUCUCCGGGGGUAGAGCACUGUUUCGGCAAGGGGGUCAUCCCGACUUACCAACCCGAUGCAAACUGCGAAUACCGGAGAAUGUUAUCACGGGAGACACACGGCGGGUGCUAACGUCCGUCGUGAAGAGGGAAACAACCCAGACCGCCAGCUAAGGUCCCAAAGUCAUGGUUAAGUGGGAAACGAUGUGGGAAGGCCCAGACAGCCAGGAUGUUGGCUUAGAAGCAGCCAUCAUUUAAAGAAAGCGUAAUAGCUCACUGGUCGAGUCGGCCUGCGCGGAAGAUGUAACGGGGCUAAACCAUGCACCGAAGCUGCGGCAGCGACACUAUGUGUUGUUGGGUAGGGGAGCGUUCUGUAAGCCUGUGAAGGUGUGCUGUGAGGCAUGCUGGAGGUAUCAGAAGUGCGAAUGCUGACAUAAGUAACGAUAAAGCGGGUGAAAAGCCCGCUCGCCGGAAGACCAAGGGUUCCUGUCCAACGUUAAUCGGGGCAGGGUGAGUCGACCCCUAAGGCGAGGCCGAAAGGCGUAGUCGAUGGGAAACAGGUUAAUAUUCCUGUACUUGGUGUUACUGCGAAGGGGGGACGGAGAAGGCUAUGUUGGCCGGGCGACGGUUGUCCCGGUUUAAGCGUGUAGGCUGGUUUUCCAGGCAAAUCCGGAAAAUCAAGGCUGAGGCGUGAUGACGAGGCACUACGGUGCUGAAGCAACAAAUGCCCUGCUUCCAGGAAAAGCCUCUAAGCAUCAGGUAACAUCAAAUCGUACCCCAAACCGACACAGGUGGUCAGGUAGAGAAUACCAAGGCGCUUGAGAGAACUCGGGUGAAGGAACUAGGCAAAAUGGUGCCGUAACUUCGGGAGAAGGCACGCUGAUAUGUAGGUGAAGUCCCUCGCGGAUGGAGCUGAAAUCAGUCGAAGAUACCAGCUGGCUGCAACUGUUUAUUAAAAACACAGCACUGUGCAAACACGAAAGUGGACGUAUACGGUGUGACGCCUGCCCGGUGCCGGAAGGUUAAUUGAUGGGGUUAGCCGCAAGGCGAAGCUCUUGAUCGAAGCCCCGGUAAACGGCGGCCGUAACUAUAACGGUCCUAAGGUAGCGAAAUUCCUUGUCGGGUAAGUUCCGACCUGCACGAAUGGCGUAAUGAUGGCCAGGCUGUCUCCACCCGAGACUCAGUGAAAUUGAACUCGCUGUGAAGAUGCAGUGUACCCGCGGCAAGACGGAAAGACCCCGUGAACCUUUACUAUAGCUUGACACUGAACAUUGAGCCUUGAUGUGUAGGAUAGGUGGGAGGCUUUGAAGUGUGGACGCCAGUCUGCAUGGAGCCGACCUUGAAAUACCACCCUUUAAUGUUUGAUGUUCUAACGUUGACCCGUAAUCCGGGUUGCGGACAGUGUCUGGUGGGUAGUUUGACUGGGGCGGUCUCCUCCUAAAGAGUAACGGAGGAGCACGAAGGUUGGCUAAUCCUGGUCGGACAUCAGGAGGUUAGUGCAAUGGCAUAAGCCAGCUUGACUGCGAGCGUGACGGCGCGAGCAGGUGCGAAAGCAGGUCAUAGUGAUCCGGUGGUUCUGAAUGGAAGGGCCAUCGCUCAACGGAUAAAAGGUACUCCGGGGAUAACAGGCUGAUACCGCCCAAGAGUUCAUAUCGACGGCGGUGUUUGGCACCUCGAUGUCGGCUCAUCACAUCCUGGGGCUGAAGUAGGUCCCAAGGGUAUGGCUGUUCGCCAUUUAAAGUGGUACGCGAGCUGGGUUUAGAACGUCGUGAGACAGUUCGGUCCCUAUCUGCCGUGGGCGCUGGAGAACUGAGGGGGGCUGCUCCUAGUACGAGAGGACCGGAGUGGACGCAUCACUGGUGUUCGGGUUGUCAUGCCAAUGGCACUGCCCGGUAGCUAAAUGCGGAAGAGAUAAGUGCUGAAAGCAUCUAAGCACGAAACUUGCCCCGAGAUGAGUUCUCCCUGACUCCUUGAGAGUCCUGAAGGAACGUUGAAGACGACGACGUUGAUAGGCCGGGUGUGUAAGCGCAGCGAUGCGUUGAGCUAACCGGUACUAAUGAACCGUGAGGCUUAACCU
rnacentral:rRNA from 1 species